GAAGGAAUGAGGGGUGGCUGCCUUCCUCUCUCAGGAGUCCUUGUGGAUUCCUUCCAAAGAAGAAAAUUCAAGUGAAGAGGCUACCUUUUCAGAGAUUUUCUUUCAUGAAUGGAGCCAUCUGUGUUUGGCAGUGUUCUUCCUGUAACGUUGUGACCGGAG